AGCGAACGCUGGCGGCAGGCCUAAUGCAUGCAAGUCGAGCGCACCUUCGGGUGAGCGGCGGACGGGUGAGUAACGCGUGGGAACGUGCCCUUUGGUACGGGAUAACUGAGGGAAACUUCAGCUAAUACCGUAUGUGCCCUACGGGGGAAAGAUUUAUCGCCAUUGGAGCGGCCCGCGUUGGAUUAGGUAGUUGGUGAGGUAAAGGCUCACCAAGCCUACGAUCCAUAGCUGGUCUGAGAGGAUGAUCAGCCACACUGGGACUGAGACACGGCCCAGACUCCUACGGGAGGCAGCAGUAGGGAAUCUUGCGCAAUUGGCGAAAGCCUGACGCAGCCAUGCCGCGUGAAUGAUGAAGGUCUUAGGAUUGUAAAAUUCUUUCACCGGGGAAGAUAAUGACGGUACCCGGAGAAGAAGCCCCGGCUAACUUCGUGCCAGCCGCCGCGGUAACAC
rnacentral:rRNA from 1 species